GCCCUAAACAACACAACCAUUCGAUUUGCUUCUCAAAACAGGUGGUAAUCAACAUCUUGGGUGGGAUUUCGAAAUUUCGAGCCCAUUGUCUUCAAUAUCUGCCGAAAAUAAGGGAAAACCGAAAUCAAUUUAUGUUGCCUCUGAAUUCUGCCAAAAAUGAUGAAACCAAAUUCAAUUUUGCUUCUGUUUUUAAUUGUGCACCAAAAUCCUUAUUUUGCUUCUGAUUCUUGCCGUAAACAAGAAGGAUACGACUAAGUCGAAGACCCCUUUUAGUUGAUUGCGGUGAACCGAUCUUAACUCUUUGAAGCGUCAUUGUUGAUUGAAACCAGUCGGGAACGAUGGGUUAGCGGUGAUGAUUAGAGUUACUUGGAUGUUAUAUUGAGCUAAAUACAUGAGAAGUUGUAGUAUUGUAUUAGGUUUUUGAUAAAUGUAUAAUAGACUUGGUUGUGUUGGUUAUAUUGGACUUUUAGAACGAAUUUUAUGAUUAUAUUGUAUUUUAGUUAGAUGUUUGGUUUGAGAAUUAGCUGAUUUAGCUAUGUUUUAGAACUGGUGACCCCUUUGCUCA